AGCGUCUCUAGCUAUGUUGAGACGCGGCAGACGGCUCAGUAACACGUGGCUAACCUACCCUCAGGACGAGGACAAACCCGGGAAACCGGGGCUAAUACUCGAUAGGUGAGUAUGUCUGGAAUGAUUUCUCACUCAAAGGGCUUUAGAAACAUGCUUCUAAAGUCGCCUGGGGAUGGGGCCGCGUCCGAUCAGGUUGUUGGUAAGGUAAUGGCUCACCAAGCCUAUAACCGGUACGGGCCGUGAGAGCGGUAGCCCGGAGAUGGGUACUGAGACAAGGACCCAGGCCCCACGGGGCGCAGCAGUCGCGAAAACUCCGCAAUGCACGAAAGUGUGACGGGGCUACCCCGAGUGCCAUCCGCUGAGGAUGGCUUUUCCUUGGUAUAACUAGCCGAGGGAAUAAGGAGAGGGCAAGACUGGUGUCAGCCGCCGCGGUAAUACCAGCUCUCCGAGUGGUAGGGAUGAUUAUUGGGCUUAAAGCGUCCGUAGCCGGCUUAGCAAGUCUCCUGUUAAAUUCAGCGACCUAAUCGUUGAGCCGCGGGAGAUACUACUAGGCUAGGAGGCGGGAGAGGUCGACGGUACUUCUGGGGUAGGGGUGAAAUCCUAUAAUCCCGGGAGGACCACCAGUGGCGAAGGCUGUCGACUAGAACGCGCUCGACGGUGAGGGACGAAAGCUGGGGGAGCGAACCGGAUUAGAUACCCGGGUAGUCCCAGCCGUAAACGAUGCGGGCUAGGUGUUGGGGUGGCUACGUGCCACUUCAGUGCCGCAGGGAAGCCAUUAAGCCCGCCGCCUGGGGAGUACGGCCGCAAGGCUGAAACUUAAAGGAAUU
rnacentral:rRNA from 1 species